rnacentral:misc_RNA from 1 species
GAAGGUCGCCUCCCACUGCUCGAUCGCUGACGCCGACGACUUUGAUCUCAGCCGGCUGCUCGACAAACCGAAGCUGAAUAUAGAGAGGAAGCGGUCCUUCGACGAGCGGUCGAUGUCGGGGCUGGACACGCCGCUCUCGUCAUCGCGGAACUCGUUCGAGCCGCAUCCGAUGGUGGCGGAGGCGUGGGAUGCGCUCCGGAAGUCGAUGGUGUACUACCGCGGCCAGCCGGUGGGGACGAUUGCUGCAGUGGAUCAUCAGUCGGAGGAGGUUCUCAACUACGAUCAGGUGUUUGUCCGGGACUUUGUACCUAGUGCUCUCGCUUUUCUGAUGAACGGUGAGCCGGAUAUUGUGAAGAAUUUUUUGCUGAAGACUCUCCAUCUUCAAGGGUGGGAGAAGAGGAUUGACAGGUUUAAGCUUGGCGAGGGUGCGAUGCCGGCGAGCUUUAAGGUGCUUCAUGAUGCUAUUAGGAAGACUGACACUCUGGUUGCGGAUUUUGGCGAGAGCGCGAUUGGGAGAGUGGCGCCGGUGGAUUCUGGCUUCUGGUGGAUCAUUCUUCUCCGCGCUUAUACGAAGUCUACUGGGGAUUUGUCGCUGGCGGAGAAGCCGGAGUGUCAGAAGGGUAUGAGGCUUAUAUUGGCUUUGUGCUUGUCGGAGGGGUUUGAUACGUUUCCGACUUUGCUAUGUGCUGAUGGGUGCUCGAUGAUAGAUCGAAGGAUGGGUAUCUAUGGUUAUCCUAUUGAAAUUCAAGCCCUUUUCUUUAUGGCACUGAGGUCUGCUUUGGCAAUGCUUAAACAUGAUGCAGAAGGGAAGGAAUUUGUUGAACGGAUAGUUAAGCGUUUGCAUGCUCUUGGUUACCACAUGCGAAACUACUUUUGGCUAGACUUCCAACAACUGAAUGACAUAUAUCGAUAUAAAACAGAGGAG